rnacentral:SRP_RNA from 1 species
GGCCUGGCUUAAGCCAGGCCAGAAAACUACUGCAUCCACCAGGAGCCGGCCACCCCCCGCGUGAGGCCGUGAACCCCGCCCCAUGGGGCCGGCGGAGGCGGAGCCCCCUCUGGAGGGAGGGGGUGAACCGCCUUAGCUGGGGGAACCUGGCCAGGCCCGGAAGGGAGCAACCUAACCCUGGACGCCGGCGUUCAUGGGUCAACGGGGCUGAGCCAGCGCGGAUAAGGCUCUGGCCGGCUUCCUCGGUGGAUGCAGUAGAGCUGUGCC